GAUGAACGCUGGCGGCGUGCCUAAUACACGCAAGUCGAGCGAACGGACGAGAAGCCUGCUUUUCUGAUGUUAGCGGCGGACGGGUGAGUAACACGUGGAUAACCUACCUAUAAGACUGGGAUAACUUCGGGAAACCGGAGCUAAUACCGGAUAAUAUUUUGAACCGCAUGGUUCAAAAGUGAAAGACGGUCUUGCUGUCACUUAUAGAUGGAUCCGCGCUGCAUUAGCUAGUUGGUAAGGUAACGGCUUACCAAGGCAACGAUGCAUAGCCGACCUGAGAGGGUGAUCGGCCACACUGGAACUGAGACACGGUCCGGACUCCUACGGGAGGCAGCAGUAGGGAAUCUUCCGCAAUGGGCGAAAGACUGACGGAGCAACGCCGCGUGAGUGAUGAAGGUCUUCGGAUCGUAAAACUCUGUUAUUAGGGAAGAACAUAUGUGUAAGUAACUGUGCACAUCUUGACGGUACCUAAUCAGAAAGCCACGGCUAACUACGUG
rnacentral:rRNA from 1 species